AUUGAACGCUGGCGGCAGGCUUAACACAUGCAAGUCGAACGAGUGGCGGACGGGUGAGUAACGCUUGGGAAUCUAGCUUAUGGAGGGGGAUAACUACGGGAAACUGUAGCUAAUACCCCGUACUAUAGGAUGAGCCCAAGUGGGAUUAGGUAGUUGGUGAGGUAAAGGCUCACCAAGCCGACAAUCGCUAGCUGGUCUUGGUGGAUGACCGGCCACGCUGGGACUGAGACACGGCCCGAACUCCAACGGAGGGCAGCGGUGGGGAAUAUUGCGCAAUGGGGGCAACCUGACGCAGCCAUGCCGCGUGAGUGAAGAAGGCCUUCGGGUUGUAAAGUUCUUUCGGUAGCGAGGCGUUAACUACAGAAGAAGCACCGGCUAACUCCGUGCCAGCAGCCGCGGUAAUAC
rnacentral:rRNA from 1 species